UCUCUUUUCCUCUCAGCACUCUCUCUCUCUCUCUCUCUCUCUCUCUAAAUUCUCACAACAAUGGCCCAGCCAGGCCAAUUCCCCAUAAACCCUAUGAACCCGAUGAUGUACCACCCGACCGUACCGGUUUCGGUGCCCGUACCCGUACCCGUACCCGCAUCUCUACCCUUACCCAUGCCCAUGCCCAUGCCCAUGCCCCGCCCCGUACCUACUGCCGCGUUUCCCGAAUUCGAAUACGGACAGCCAUCAUCGGCGGCCGGGAAGCGCCGCCGGGAAGACGAGCUUGUUUCGGCGGAGGACGAGUCGGCGGCGAAGCGGAGAGUGAAGUUGGCUCAGGACGUACUGUUCAGAAUCGUCGUCCCGUCGCGGCAGAUCGGGAAGGUCAUCGGCAAAGAAGGCUGCCGAAUCCAGAAGAUUCGCGAAGAUACCAAAGCCACCAUCAAAAUCGCCGAUGCCAUCGCUCGACAUGAAGAGCGUGUAAUUAUCAUAAGUUCUAAAGACAGUGACAACAAGCUCACUGACGCAGAAAAUGCACUCCAGCAAAUUGCCACUUUAAUACUAAAGGAAGAUGAAAGCAGUACAGAGGCAAAAGUUGCAGCAGGACAUGUGGCUGCCAAUACCAUAAGGCUUUUGAUUGCUGGAACCCAAGCAGGUUGUUUGAUUGGGAUUUCAGGUCAAAAUAUUGAGAAAUUGAGGGAUUCCUGUGGUGCCAUAAUCACAAUUCUUGCUCAAAAUCAGUUGCCUUUGUGUGCAUCUGCUCAUGAAUCUGAUCGAGUGGUACAGAUAUCAGGUGAUGUUCCUGCUGUACUGAAGGCAUUGGAGGAGAUUGGUUCUCAACUAAGGGAAAACCCACCACGACAAGUGAUUUCUAUUAGCCCAGUGUACAAUAUUACAUCAAUCAGACCUCCUCAACCGUACCUGGACCCAACAUCAGGACAACCAAUCUUGCAGCUGAUUAUGUUACUUUCGAGAUGAUGAUAUCGGAAUCGCUGGUUGGUGGGUUGAUCGGCAGGAGCGGCACCAACAUAUCAAGGAUCAGAAAUGAGUCUGGAGCAAUGAUCAAGGUUUAUGGUGGGAAAGGCGAAACUAAACAUCGACAAAUUCAAUUCGGAGGUAGCGCUCAACAGGUAGCAUUGGCAAAGCUGAGGGUUGACGAAUACAUAUAUUCUCAGUUGAUACAACAACCCGGUGCUCAACAGCCAGCUUUGCCGCUUUGAUGAGGACGGAACAUCAAGACCUCUUGCCCCCCUUGUUCAAUAGUCAUAUCUUGAGUUCAGUUCCUGGUAGAUCCCAAUUCACCUUUGCUGCAGCAAAUGCUGUACCAGAUUUUGAGACGACGGUGUUAUACAAUGAUAAUGUAUUGUAUGGUUUGCUAUAAGAGAGAGUUGAACAUCAAGAUCUUUUUAUUCCAAAACUUAGGUGGUGCAUAGGAAUUUUAUGUGUUUGUUGUGAGGAUAUAAAUCAAUCACGUCUUGUUGAGUAUAAUUUAGUUUUUUAUUUAUGCUAGCAUAGUACUACUUGUUCAUUAAAAAUAUCCUGGUGGAACUUUUAAUUUAUUGAAGUCCUUUUUUCCCUCUU